rnacentral:lncRNA from 1 species
AUGAUGGGUCAAGAGGGAGAGUUGCCAGAGUACGACUACGGUUCUGGACAGUAUGAGGGCUCCGGAGCUGAAGGCUGGCCCAUGGCAGACAUGGGCUUUGCAGCUGCUGAAAGUGAGACAGGCUCAGGCGAGUCCUGGACAGAGGAAGACAUGAAGCUGAACAAAGAUGGGAACAUGAUGAGGCGGUUGUUCCCGAGCAGGUCUCUGGUUGGUAAGGCAAAACCGGCAGAGCAUGAGCUGAGAGAAGACAACCUUCUGCAACUGUAGACUGCACAGCAACCCACACACACACACACACACACACACACACACACACACACACACACACACACAGUCCUAAACAAGGCUAGCAUCUAUUUUGUUUUCAUCCUGUCUCUUCGUAAGGUAAAACAAACAUUGCAUCACCACCUGGUGGUUGCUCUGAGAUUGACAAGGGCCAAACAUACAGUAUAUAUUUGUAUUUGCAGUGCUGUUGAUGGGAAUUAUUCUCUUCAGGUUUAAAAAGGACAAGUGCAAACAAUGCAAAAGUAACUGCCAAAGUAAAAGAAUGGUCUGCAUACGUGAGACGUAAACACACUUUAAUAAAGUUUAAGUUGGCUGUGACUCGUACUUGUGCUUUCUUGUAGAAAGGAUGUGUAAGUUUGACAAUGCAAAAAUGCAAACAAGCUAAAUAUGCUGAAACCUGCCUUCAAAAGUGUUGUAAUACCAGUGCAAUAAGAUGAUGCCACGCAUUGCUCACUCUGUGCAGCUGUGGUUCCAAAGCUGUUUUUGUUUAUGGAGCCACGAGGCCUGUGUUCCUUUAAGACACGCAAAAGACUUAUUUAUAUUAUUUGAUCCCUUUGUCUGUAAAAUGUCGUGACACUUUACACUUUCCCCAGGAGGGUUAUGGAACCUAUUUUGGGAAAUUUUGGUCUGCUCACGUUUAAAAAAAGAGCAUCUCGCAAACCCAAAUCCCUCAGGAAUGGAUUCAUGCAAUCCUAACCACUGUGAGCUGGAAUAUAUUCAAAAUAUGGAAUGUGCACAUGGAUGCACUUCACCGUGCUCUGCAUUGUCUAAUUUGCAUUUGAAAUACUUCUAUCAAUAAAGGAUUUAUAACAAGAGUGUUCUGUUUUGUUUUCAUUCUAUUUUAUAAAAAACUGUUCUGUUAACUUUUCUAUUUCCUCAGUCAGUCUGGUGCUCCUGCC